GGUCCCAUAGCUCAGCUGGAUCAGAGCGGCGCUUUCCUAAAGCGUAGGUCGGGGGUUCGAGUCCCUCUGGGAUCA
rnacentral:tRNA from 1 species